CAGCCGCCGCGGUAAUACGGAAGGUCCAGGCGUUAUCCGGAUUUAUUGGGUUUAAAGGGAGUGUAGGCGGUCUGUUAAGCGUGUUGUGAAAUUUAGGUGCUCAACAUCUAACUUGCAGCGCGAACUGGCGGACUUGAGUGCACGCAACGUAUGCGGAAUUCAUGGUGUAGCGGUGAAAUGCUUAGAUAUCAUGACGAACUCCGAUUGCGAUGGCAGCGUACGGGAGUGUUACUGACGCUUAAGCCCGAAGGUGCGGGUAUCGAACAGGAUUAGAUACCCCCGUAGUCCCUGUCUCUUAUAC
rnacentral:rRNA from 1 species